rnacentral:rRNA from 1 species
GUUUACGGCCAUACCACCCUGAACACGCCCGAUCUCGUCUGAUCUCGGAAGCUAAGCAGGGUCGGGCCUGGUUAGUACUUGGAUGGGAGACCGCCUGGGAAUACCAGGUGCUGUAAGCUUUU